rnacentral:lncRNA from 1 species
UGCCGAUGCCGCCGACGAUGGGCGGCGGCACGUCGGCGAUGGCGCGUGAUCUGGCGUAGAAGAGGUAGUGGAGCUCGGUGAAGAGCGCCGUGAGGAAGGUGAAGGCGGCGCCGGCGGCGAAGACGCCCUUGCGUAGCAUCGCGCAGGCAGGCGGGCUGUCGCUGGGCCUCGGGAUGUACUUGGUGUGGUAUGCGUUCCGGACCGAUCCCGCCAGCAAGCACAACUCCGCGAUCACGAAUGUGAGCCUGCAUCAAUCCACUCUCACCACUUCAGAGAAACCAAAAAACAUGCAAGUUCAAUAAAGCCAGUGUAAACUAAACUUUCUAUAUUCUAAAACAGGCCACACUACUACGCAACUCUGCCCUGUUCAGCACCAGAGUAAAUGGUAGAAAGAUGUCAUCUAUUGUAAAAUACAAGGAACAAGCAAGUAUAAAAACUGGUAUAAAUUUGUACAAUACGUACAGUGCUUGUCUAGUAUCUCGAAUCCUCAAGUGCUUGCAUGAUAAUGAUUUGCGUAGAAAGGUAACGAGCCACAAACAUCAGAAAAGGGUGGUGUGAGUCUCUUAGCAUGCUUGUAACAAAGCAACACUGAACUGACGCCGAAUUUCGGGUUGUGUUCUUUUUUUAUUAUUAAAGCUCUAAAUCACCAAAUUUCAUAGCAUAUUAACGUGACCUAUAAAUCACCGUACUUAUGGGACCAUCUCUAAAACUUAUAGGCCAAGUUGACCAUUGCAUUAUAAUUAUAAGCUGGGGUCAAUAUCUUAUCUACAUAACUAUCGUUUCGUAUAAUUCUUACUAACUUUCUAGAAGGUUUUUUUGUACUUUGCUUAUGUUAUUUACUUAUUGUGAUAGUUUUACUUCAUGUAAACAAAGAAACUAUAUAGAUAGUUUGUACAUGAACAAACUGUUUUUAUAUCCAAUAUUUUUCUAGAGUUCUAAUUUAGAAAAUAAAUUCUUCUAAAAACAUCUAGUAUAACUUCAGAAAUCAUCGCAUCCAAACACCUCUCAGCUUUCCAAAACUAAAAUAUUUUACAAAACCAUAGUUAAAAUACUUUGUAUCUAGCCUGACUAUGUGCCGGCCAAGGGCCUGCCACCUCUCUGACUUCUUCUGUACGGCCUAAAAGGGCACAAACUGGGCUACUGGUCGUCCCAUGAUCCCAUGAGCUUCAUUCAGUCCCCCAUUCUUGCUUAAAAAUAUAUUCCAGCUUCCAAACAGAUGUUCUCAGUGGCUGAUGUAUGAAUACCUAAACCAUCAUAUCAUUUUGCUCCAUUUCUUGCUAAGAAUUGGGCAGGGACAGGGCAACCAAUCAGUGCAUGCCAUGAGACCGACUUGCAAACCAGCAGCCAGAUCAGGGCAAGGUAUACAAUAUACAGCCAACCUAGACAUACACAUGUACUCCCUAGUAUUAAUCUACAUUUAGAUUGCAAGGUCGAAGCUCACACAAAGUCAAUGGGCCAAACUGUGCAGCGAACUGAGCGCAUUAGCUGGCCACCAGCCAGCACCGGGUAUACGACUGCAAAAAUCCACAAAUUCCAGGGGCGUAAUUGCACAGCGAACAUGGUGACAAGUGAGAGCGAGAGACAGACAAAACAUGCCGAGGUUUCCCUGGUGAAAAUUGAUGAUUCACCAGGUACGGUUGAGGGGCAGAAAGAAAGUUACAGUUGGUUACCAGCAGACGACGAAGCAGAUGCCGGACCAUGCCCGCCAGCGUCCCGGCGAGAGGGCGCGGCCGCAGCAGAAGCAGCGGGUGGCGACCAUGGCGACCGCCUGGCCGGCGAGCAGCAGCAGCAGCGCGCUGACGCCGUACACCGUGGACGCGUCGGAGCUGUAGACGCAGAAGGCCCUCCCGUACGUGUCCACGCUGACAUAGGUCACCUGCACGCAGUUGUUCAGCAGCGAGGAGAUGAGCAGAUCAGUACAAUACUUCCCCUCCAUGGCUCCCCAAUCAUCCCAAAGAUGGCAGAGAUAUCGAGCAGAGACGAAUCAGAAGAAGGAAGGGAAUAAUCAACAAGCUGUGCUCACGUACGUAGCUCCGCCGGCGCUCGGCGCCGAUGGCGAGGACGAAGGCGAGGACGUCCAAGACGAAGACCACGGCGAUGAUGAUGAUGGACGCCAUGAGGAAUUCUCUGGACGGACGGACGGAGGGGACUGAAUGAUGCAGCUGC